rnacentral:rRNA from 1 species
UACGGAGGGUGCGAGCGUUGUCCGGAAUCACUGGGCGUAAAGGGCGCGUAGGCGGAUGUGCAGGCAUCGUGUGAAAUCCCCUGGCUCAACCAGGGAACUGCUCGGUGAACCGCACGUCUUGAGGCAAGUAGAGGCUGUCGGAACGAUAGGUGGAGCGGUGAAAUGCGUAGAUAUCUAUCGGAACGCCGAAGGUGAAAACAGGCAGCUGGGCUUGAUCUGACGCUGAGGUACGAAAGCGUGGGGAGCGAACGGG